UACGUAGGGUGCGAGCGUUGUCCGGAAUUAUUGGGCGUAAAGAGCUCGUAGGCGGUGUGUCACGUCGGCCGUGAAAACCUGCAGCUUAACUGUGGGCGUGCGGUCGAUACGGGCAUCACUGGAGUUCGGCAGGGGAGACUGGAAUUCCUGGUGUAGCGGUGAAAUGCGCAGAUAUCUGGAGGAACACCGGUGGCGAAGGCGGCAUCCUGGACCGGUAUUGACGCUGAGGCGCGAAAGCCAGGGGAGCAAACGGG
rnacentral:rRNA from 1 species